rnacentral:lncRNA from 1 species
AUGUGGGCCUACAGGACUGAUCCAGUGGUCGAAAACCAGCCAACAAGCCAGCCAACAAUGGAUGUGGCUGUAGACACCAGAUUGAACUCAGGAGAAGAUGCAGUGAUUGAGCAAAACGCAAUACAGCAUGAUCCGGACAGUGUGUGCCCGGAACAUUUUGGCACUUUUGACAGUAAUAUGACAUUGUACUCUGGCUUCGAUGAUGCCGCCCAUAUCUCGCAAAGGCCCCUUGUUCCAUCCCAGACCAACAAUGAUACCUCGACUCCAAACAUUUCAGCAGAUUGUCCAAGCGGGUUCGCAGAUGGAGUAGCAUCAUGCCAAUCUAUGGAUGACUCCUGCCACGAUGUUCUUACCAGACAAGCAACAGCUCUUGUAUUGACUGCAAGAGAGAAACAUCGUCUUUCACAGAGUGGUGUGAAUGAUGUCGUUGCAGCAUUACAACAGUAUCAGGCAUCGUUGGUCAAUAAUCUGAGAAGUCAGGUACAAAAGGUUUUCCAGCAGCAUCAUGGAAGUGGACUUGAAAAAGAUGUUUUGGCAGUGUUCGACCAGAUUGAGGAUCCAUUUGCCUCUGUUUCAACAACAUACAGGCAGGAUGAUGUGAUAAAGAGAAAUUUCAAUUUUGUGGAAUCUGAGGAGGUUUGUGUUGGGUAUACUGCUGUCAUGGUAAAAAAAGGGAAAAAAAGAUUCCUCAGUACUGUGCCCAAAUGUUUUCAUUAUGUUCCGCUUGUCAGAAGUUUGGAGCAGUUAUUCUCCCAUCCAAGAGUUUUGGCAUUGAUAGAUGAGCAGAAAAACUACAGAAAUGAUUAUUUAUACGAUAUCAUAGAUGGAGAACUCAUGAAGUCUCACCGUUUAUUUUCUGCACACCCUUCUGCCUUACAGAUUAUCCUUUACUCAGAUGAAAUUGAAAUUUGUAACCCACUUGGGUCUCAUGCCUCCAAAAAUAAGUUGGUAAUGUUCUAUUAUACUUUGGGAAACAUUAAUCCUAAAUAUCGAUCAAAACUAGCUGCCAUUCGUCUACUUGCCAUUGCAAAAAAGAGUGCGCUUUCUGAAUGUGGUGUAGAUGGAAUCUUGCAAAGGCUGCAUGAGGACUUAGUGAAGCUAUAUAAUGGAGUUAAAAUUCAAACUGGAAAUGGUGAACGUGAAAUAUUUGGAGCAUUAGUUUCAUUAUGUGGAGACACUUUGGCGCAACAUGAGCUUUGCGGGUUUAAAGAGGGUGUUGGGUUUGCUCAUAGUAAAUGCAGGCAGUGUGAAUGUUCAUUUGAGGACAUGCAAAUUUAUUUUGAUGAGGAUAACUUUGAGGAACGGACAUUUGAACGACAUGUCCGGCAAUGUAGCGAAAUUGAGAAGGCCAACACAGAGUAUCUAAGAAGCAGCUUAAAAACAACAUAUGGAAUAAACAGAAGAAGCAAACUUAUUAAUUUCCCAGCAUUCAACUUGAUCCAACAAACACCCCAAGACAUGAUGCAUGUAAUUUUUGAAGGGAUUGCUCCAUUAGAAAUAAAGUGUGUGUUGAAACACUUAGUUCUUAUGGGAGAGCUAGACUUAGAUCUCUUCAAUGCUGCAUUGACUGGUUUCCCAUACUCUCCAGUUGAUAUUAGAGAUAAACCAAGUGUUAUUACCUACAGUACAUUAGCUUCCAGUGACAAUAAGUUGAAGCAGUCCUCGGGGCAAAUGAUUGUGCUUUUGAAAAUUUUGCCAUUUCUGAUUGAUGCAGCCAAAGGUACUGAACACUACGCAUUCAUUCUUGAACUCAUUGAGAUAGUUCAGAUUUUACUUGCUCCUGUCAUCAGUCUGCAGACAAUUAACAAGUUGAAAAUCCUCAUUGAACAGCACUUGAAGCACAUGAAAGCCCUUUUCCCAGAUAACAACAUAACACCAAAACAACAUUAUUUGAUUCAUACACCAAGCCAAAUUAAACGUUUGGGACCAAUGGUCCGUCAUAUGUGCAUGAGAUUUGAAUCGAAACAUUGCUUUUUCAAACAAUGGGCAUCAAAAAUAAAUUUUAAAAAUGUUUGCAAAUCUUUAAUAAAGCAUAAUCAAAUGUAUGAAUGUUGUCAGAAUGUGGAUAGUUUUGAUCACCCCAUUUUUUCCAAUGAAUGCACAUUAGGACCAACCUCAGAAGUAAGCAACGUGUCAUACUUAAAAGAAAAAAUGAGGGCCUUCCUUGGAAAUGAUGAAGUAAACCAUGCAGUGACUGUUAAAUGGCUUAAUCUAAAUGGUAACAAAUACGUAAGGGAUAGGUCAUUAAUUGUUUGUGCUGUUGGUUCUAGUGAUUUACCUAUAUUUGGGCUUGUGAAAAAUAUCUAUGUGAUCAAUUCAUCAUUGUACUGUUUUGAAUUCCAGCAGCACAAUACCAUUUGUUAUGACAGAGAUUACAUGUCAUAUAAGAUAGAGAUUCCAAACAUGGCACAAGCAACGGAACUGAUAUCUGCUGAUAAUCUUAUAGAUUUCACUCCAUAUUACAGUUUCACACACAAAGAUAUGACAUAUGCAGUCAUGAAAUAUUACCUGUGUGAUGUAAUUGGACUACACAUGAGUUCAACAGAUGUUUUAUAAAAGGUACACUGCUUUACAUGCAUGAACUGUAUUAUCAGGUUAUUGCUUUGGACAGUUUUGUUGUUGAGUUUUCUAUCAAAUCUGACAGUUGAAUGUGUUUGUAGCAUUGCCAUAGUGAAGAUAUGUAUAAGAUAUGUAUAAGAUACUGAUACUUGUCUGAUGCUGAUCUAUUAAUCUGUUUGACCUGGCCUAAAGUGAAUGAGUUAUGUUGUCUGUUUUUCAAAUGGGCCUGUAUUUCAUGUUUAUCAUGUGCUUUUAGUUCCAGCUUUUGUGAAUGUUGUGUCAAACUUGACAGCAGUUUUAUUACACUUUAGUGUCAAUAAAUACAUUUCUUAAACUGAGCAGCUGUUUAAGUGGCCUUACUCUUGAAAUGAGAAAAAUAAUCUUGUUUUUAUUCUGGAAUUUCAACCGAACCGUUUUCAUACCUUGUAACUGGUAAAUAAAGCUCAAGAUAAGCUGAAAUAUCCUUUUAAGGAAAAGUUAGACAUAUUUUCCUAGAAUAAGAUUUAUUUUCUUGUGCAAAACUUGCUUGUUAAGAAUAUAUUUUCUUUUUAGACAAAAAAUAAGAAAAAAUGUCCAUAAACAAGGGUUUUUUUACUUUCUUGAAAAUCGUUUUUUGCAGUGUAGGUGCUCCUUGAGAUCGUCUGACACAGACUGGAGAUUUUCUGAGGGGUGAUAACGGAUACGCUCUCGUAUGCACAUUCUGCGCUCAUGUGGCAAGAGUGCAGACGUGGAUAUACAAUACUGACUCAACGCUCACUGUGUUCUCACGCAAAGCCCACACGGGCGAGACACAGCUGAGACACACUUGCGCAGAGAUGAGAUGUGACAUGUUGACUAAAUACAUGAUUGGAUGCACACCGUUCAGCCUGGAGUAACGAAUGAUCACGCGUGACGUGCACUUUCACAGAAACAUCCAGGCUAACCUUUCCUCCGCUGAUGAAUGAGUCACAACCCGGACGCCAAAGGUGACCUUACAUAGUGUGUGCCUCUCACUGUUGUCAGUGUCUGUACUUUUGAAAUCAUAUCUUGUGGUUUUAUUUCAUUUAGGAACUCACGAAGAGUCUUUUUGUAUGGGUGACAACAGCUCCAUACUGGAAAUUUUGGUAUCAAUCCAAUACCAAGUAAAUACAGGGCCAGUAUUGCUGAUACCAAUACAGACACUGAUGCUGUCAGCCUAUAAAGACGGCUUAUGUAGGGCAGAGGAGUGUGUCAUGACUUAUGAGAUGAAUUAAAAUGUUGCAAAAUCUGAA